GUAGGUGGCAAGCGUUGUCCGGAAUUAUUGGGCGUAAAGCGCGCGCAGGCGGUCCUUUAAGUCUGAUGUGAAAGCCCACGGCUCAACCGUGUAGGGUCAUUGGAAACUGGGGGACUUGAGUACAGAAGAGGAAAGCGGAAUUCCAAGUGUAGCGGUGAAAUGCGUAGAGAUUUGGAGGAACACCAGUGGCGAAGGCGGCUUUCUGGUCUGUAACUGACGCUGAGGCGCGAAAGCGUGGGGAGCAAACAGGGAUUAGAUACCCUGGUAGUCCACGCCGUAAACGAUGAGUGCUAAGUGUUAGGGGGUUUCCGCCCCCUUAGUGCUGCAGCUAACGCAUUAAGCACUCCGCCUGGGGAGUACGGCCGCAAGGCUG
rnacentral:rRNA from 1 species